GCUCGCCACAUGUCCACGCCCGCGAGAGCAUCGGUGACGGACUCAUCGCGCACGUCUUAGAUUGAAGAAGUCGCGUGUCGUACCGGCGCGUGAUCCGGACGCGGGGUCUCGCGGCAGCGGUGGCGAGCGGCGAUGGAGCCGCCCCGCUGAGGUUCAGAUCCUCGGGUGGGCACGUGCUGGCAGAGGGCACAAGCUGAUUUAUCGACCCAGCCGCGGCUGGAGAUGGCCCCACCGCCCGCGGGAAUCACGAUGAAGAUAUCCGGCUACGACGUGCAGUUCCCGUUCAAGCCGUACGCGUCUCAGCUGGU
rnacentral:lncRNA from 1 species